rnacentral:ncRNA from 1 species
ACUUUAUUUAAAAUAAUUGCGAAGGCCCUCGGCGGGUGUUGACAUGAUUUCUGGUCAGUGCUCUAAAUGUCAAAGUGAAGAAAUUCAAUGAAGCCUGGGUAAAUCGUGGGAGUAACUAUGACUCUCUUAAGGAAGCCAAAUGCCUCGUCAUCUAAUUAGUGAUGCACAGGAAUAA